rnacentral:rRNA from 1 species
CAGGUCUUGACAUCCCCCUGACCGGUUCAGAGAUGAGCCUUUCCUUCGGGACAGGGGAGACAGGUGGUGCAUGGUUGUCGUCAGCUCGUGUCGUGAGAUGUUGGGUUAAGUCCCGCAACGAGCGCAACCCUUAAUGUUAGUUGCCAGCAAUUCGGUUGGGCACUCUAACGUGACUGCCGGUGACAAACCGGAGGAAGGUGGGGAUGACGUCAAAUCAUCAUGCCCCUUAUGACCUGGGCUACACACGUACUACAAUGGCCAGUACAACGGGAAGCGAACUCGCGAGAGGGAGCCAAUCCUAUCAAAGCUGGUCUCAGUUCGGAUUGCAGGCUGCAACUCGCCUGCAUGAAGUCGGAAUUGCUAGUAAUCGCGGAUCAGCAUGCCGCGGUGAAUACGUUCCCGGGUCUUGUACACACCGCCCGUCACACCACGAGAGUUUACAACACCCGAAGUCGGUGGGGUAACCCGCAAGGGAGCCAGCCGCCGAAGGUGGGGUAGAUGAUUGGGGUG